rnacentral:rRNA from 1 species
GGGACACGUGGUAUCCUGUCUGAAUAUGGGGGGACCAUCCUCCAAGGCUAAAUACUCCUGACUGACCGAUAGUGAACCAGUACCGUGAGGGAAAGGCGAAAAGAACCCCGGCGAGGGGAGUGAAAAAGAACCUGAAACCGUGUACGUACAAGCAGUGGGAGCACGCUUAGGCGUGUGACUGCGUACCUUUUGUAUAAUGGGUCAGCGACUUAUAUUCUGUAGCAAGGUUAACCGAAUAGGGGAGCCGAAGGGAAACCGAGUCUUAACUGGGCGUUAAGUUGCAGGGUAUAGACCCGAAACCCGGUGAUCUAGCCAUGGGCAGGUUGAAGGUUGGGUAACACUAACUGGAGGACCGAACCGACUAAUGUUGAAAAAUUAGCGGAUGACUUGUGGCUGGGGGUGAAAGGCCAAUCAAACCGGGAGAUAGCUGGUUCUCCCCGAAAGCUAUUUAGGUAGCGCCUCGUGAAUUCAUCUCCGGGGGUAGAGCACUGUUUCGGCAAGGGGGUCAUCCCGACUUACCAACCCGAUGCAAACUGCGAAUACCGGAGAAUGUUAUCACGGGAGACACACGGCGGGUGCUAACGUCCGUCGUGAAGAGGGAAACAACCCAGACCGCCAGCUAAGGUCCCAAAGUCAUGGUUAAGUGGGAAACGAUGUGGGAAGGCCCAGACAGCCAGGAUGUUGGCUUAGAAGCAGCCAUCAUUUAAAGAAAGCGUAAUAGCUCACUGGUCGAGUCGGCCUGCGCGGAAGAUGUAACGGGGCUAAACCAUGCACCGAAGCUGCGGCAGCGACGCUUAUGCGUUGUUGGGUAGGGGAGCGUUCUGUAAGCCUGCGAAGGUGUGCUGUGAGGCAUGCUGGAGGUAUCAGAAGUGCGAAUGCUGACAUAAGUAACGAUAAAGCGGGUGAAAAGCCCGCUCGCCGGAAGACCAAGGGUUCCUGUCCAACGUUAAUCGGGGCAGGGUGAGUCGACCCCUAAGGCGAGGCCGAAAGGCGUAGUCGAUGGGAAACAGGUUAAUAUUCCUGUACUUGGUGUUACUGCGAAGGGGGGACGGAGAAGGCUAUGUUGGCCGGGCGACGGUUGUCCCGGUUUAAGCGUGUAGGCUGGUUUUCCAGGCAAAUCCGGAAAAUCAAGGCUGAGGCGUGAUGACGAGGCACUACGGUGCUGAAGCAACAAAUGCCCUGCUUCCAGGAAAAGCCUCUAAGCAUCAGGUAACAUCAAAUCGUACCCCAAACCGACACAGGUGGUCAGGUAGAGAAUACCAAGGCGCUUGAGAGAACUCGGGUGAAGGAACUAGGCAAAAUGGUGCCGUAACUUCGGGAGAAGGCACGCUGAUAUGUAGGUGAAGUCCCUCGCGGAUGGAGCUGAAAUCAGUCGAAGAUACCAGCUGGCUGCAACUGUUUAUUAAAAACACAGCACUGUGCAAACACGAAAGUGGACGUAUACGGUGUGACGCCUGCCCGGUGCCGGAAGGUUAAUUGAUGGGGUUAGCGCAAGCGAAGCUCUUGAUCGAAGCCCCGGUAAACGGCGGCCGUAACUAUAACGGUCCUAAGGUAGCGAAAUUCCUUGUCGGGUAAGUUCCGACCUGCACGAAUGGCGUAAUGAUGGCCAGGCUGUCUCCACCCGAGACUCAGUGAAAUUGAACUCGCUGUGAAGAUGCAGUGUACCCGCGGCAAGACGGAAAGACCCCGUGAACCUUUACUAUAGCUUGACACUGAACAUUGAGCCUUGAUGUGUAGGAUAGGUGGGAGGCUUUGAAGUGUGGACGCCAGUCUGCAUGGAGCCGACCUUGAAAUACCACCCUUUAAUGUUUGAUGUUCUAACGUGGACCCGUAAUCCGGGUUGCGGACAGUGUCUGGUGGGUAGUUUGACUGGGGCGGUCUCCUCCUAAAGAGUAACGGAGGAGCACGAAGGUUGGCUAAUCCUGGUCGGACAUCAGGAGGUUAGUGCAAUGGCAUAAGCCAGCUUGACUGCGAGCGUGACGGCGCGAGCAGGUGCGAAAGCAGGUCAUAGUGAUCCGGUGGUUCUGAAUGGAAGGGCCAUCGCUCAACGGAUAAAAGGUACUCCGGGGAUAACAGGCUGAUACCGCCCAAGAGUUCAUAUCGACGGCGGUGUUUGGCACCUCGAUGUCGGCUCAUCACAUCCUGGGGCUGAAGUAGGUCCCAAGGGUAUGGCUGUUCGCCAUUUAAAGUGGUACGCGAGCUGGGUUUAGAACGUCGUGAGACAGUUCGGUCCCUAUCUGCCGUGGGCGCUGGAGAACUGAGGGGGGCUGCUCCUAGUACGAGAGGACCGGAGUGGACGCAUCACUGGUGUUCGGGUUGUCAUGCCAAUGGCACUGCCCGGUAGCUAAAUGCGGAAGAGAUAAGUGCUGAAAGCAUCUAAGCACGAAACUUGCCCCGAGAUGAGUUCUCCCUGACCCUUUAAGGGUCCUGAAGGAACGUUGAAGACGACGACGUUGAUAGGCCGGGUGUGUAAGCGCAGCGAUGCGUUGAGCUAACCGGUACUAAUGAACCGUGAGGCUUAACCUUACAACGCCGAAGGUGUUU